ACUCCUACGGGAGGCAGCAGUAGGGAAUCUUCCACAAUGGGCGCAAGCCUGAUGGAGCAACACCGCGUGAGUGAAGUAAGGGUUUCGGCUACGUAAAGCUCUGUUAGUUAAAGAAGAACACGUAUGAGAGUAACUGUUCAUACGUUGACGGUAUUUAACCAGAAAGUCACGGCUAACUACGUGCCAGCAGCCGCGGUAAUACGUAGGUGGCAAGCGUUAUCCGGAUUUAUUGGGCGUAAAAGAGAGUGCAGGGUCGGUUUUUACUAAGUCUGAUGUAGAAACGCCUUCGGCUUAAACCGGAGAAGUGCAGUCGGAAACUGGAUAACUUGAGUGCAGAGAGGGUAGUGGAACUCCAUGUGUAGCGGUGGAAUGCGUAGAUAUAU
rnacentral:rRNA from 1 species